GCCUGUUUAACAAAAACAUCGCCCGUAGCUUAUUUUUCGGGUACCGCCUGCCCACUGAUUAUUUUAACGGCCGCAGUAUUUUGACUGUGCAAAGGUAGCAUAAUCAUUUGUCCCCUAAUUAGGGGCUGGCAUGAAUGGAAUGACGAGGUGGGGUCUGUUUCAGUAAUUAAAUUUAACUUAAUCUUUAAGUCAAAAAGCUUAAAUCUACUCGCAGGACGAGAAGACCCCGUAGAUCUUUAUAUAGGAAGCUGAAAUCGUAAAACGAAGCUGAAAUCGUAAAAUGACGAUAUUUAGUUGGGGUGACACGAAGUCGUAAACACUUUUUUAAACACGAAAAUUUAAGGGCAAAUGACCCGGCUAGCCGAUCAAAAAAUCAAGUUACCUUGGGGAUAACAGCGUAAUCUGUCUUUAGAGUUCUUAUCAAAUGACAGGUUCGCGACCUCGAUGUUGGAUUAAGAUUCUCUUUAUGAGCAGCCCCAUAAAAGAGAGGUCUGUUCGACCUAUAAAUUCUUACAUGAUCUGAGUUCAAACCGGAGCUCC
rnacentral:rRNA from 1 species